rnacentral:lncRNA from 1 species
GCGAUUGAUCGCAGCGGUUGUCGCUAUGCUGUUCGUUUCUGUAUCGCUGGCGAUCAAAUAUUUACUUUUGACAUACAUUUGCUCUUGUGUACUUAGGUUUCGUCAAAAACGUGGCUAAAUCAUUAAAACUGUAAAGUGUAAUAAAUCACACCAUGGAUGCAAUAUGUUUAAUCGUUUCAGUUUCUUAUAUUUUUCCUUGUACAAGUUCACUUUUGUUUAUGAGUUGUCACAUUAAUAAACUAUAACUCUAAUUAAAAAGUCUACACUUGAAUAUUAUUCCUUGUAACUUAGAAUAUUGAAAAAGUCUAAAUAAUAAAAAAAAAGUGAUCAUACGAGUAACUUAUAAUAAUAAUCAGUACAAACUCAAAUCAAAUAAACUAGUAAGGUAAUCGAUAUCCUCUACUCAACUCAUUACCAAUACGAUCACGUAAACCUUCCAUGGCUCUAUCACCAGUCGGCUCAUAUGGAAUAUGUCCACCAUGACCAUCACCAUCUUCUUCUUCUUCUUCAUCUUCAUCUUCAUCUUCAUCUUCCUCUUCAUCUCUUUCUUCUUCAUCAUUAUCACCAUGAGUAUGAUAUUCUUCUCUUCUCUGCCAAUGCACAAAAUCAUUAUCUUCUCGAUGUGAAUCACGUAUGAAGUUGUGUAGAGCCAUCGUUGCCGUCACUAGCUUUAUCCAUUUGAUCAAACCAUAUUUUGGAUGCCUACGGUCAAAAGAAAUGAAACAAAAGAAAUGAAACAAAAGUCAUACUUAAAAAAAAACACUACAAUCUGAGUCAUAUUAAAACAGUCAUACUGAAACAGACACUACAAUCCUUCAUAUAUCUUAACUCCAAUCAUAUUUUCAAGAUAGCUAAUCUUAUCAUCAUCACUAGAGAAAGACAUAAAAGCCAUUCUGUUUUCUUCAACAGAUUUGAGAUGGUUAACUGCAGCAAUGUGAAAUGGUCUGUUCCCUUUCUUUUUCUCAUCAGCAUAUAGAGCAAAGAAAUACCUAACUUCUUCAUCGGUCCAUUUCUAAAUAACAAGUCUCAUCAAUAGACAAACAAGCUAAACUAGCAGAAAAAACAAUUACAAAAAAUCUAAGAAACUAGAACUGCCUAAAAUACUUACGUCAUCAGCCAUUCUUCUUGUCUUAUCUUGUUGUGAUUUAUGUCCAAACCUGAAAAGAUAAUACAGACCUAAGUGACCAAACUAUAAACAAUAAAUUUGACUUAAACAAAACGUCACAGACCAAAAAGAACUCAAACCCAUGUCUGAAAACAUUCACAGGAACUCAAACCCAUAAAACACAUGUCUGAUAAUCAGAUUAAAAACAGAGAUUUGAUAAUCAAAAUCUUGAAUCUAAAAGUAACCCAUAUCAAGAAUCAAAAAACCCAACAUCCAACUUAAUUAAUCUAAAGGUUCCAUUAUUCUAACACAAAACGCUAAGAGAGAAAGAGAGAGAGAGAGAGAGAGAGAGAGAGAGAGAGAGAGAGAGAGAGAGAGAGAGAGAGAGAGAGAGGGGACUGACCUUUAAGAGAGCUAAGGCGUGAGAGAUGGUGGAGAGAAGCGUGAGAGAUGGUGGAGAGAGAUCGUGAGAGAUGGUGAAGAGAGGUGUGAGAGAUGGAGAUGAGAGAUCGUGAGAGAUGGUGAAGAGAGGUGUGAGAGAGGCGUGAGAGAUGGUGAAGGGAGAGAGAGAGAGCCGAGGCCUGAGAGAUCGUGAGAGAUGGUGAGAGAGAGAGAGAGAGAGAGAGAGAGAGAGAGAGAGAGAGAGAGAGAGAGAAGAGAGGCGAGAGAGAUUUUAGGAUUUAGGUUUAAUGGUAUUGUUUUGUAAUUUUGAAGAUAGAUUGAGGGUAUUUUUGUAUUUUGAGUUUUUUUUUUUUUCUGAUCGCAGGUUUUGGUCGCAAACGCUGAAUUUCUCGGCGAUCAAAAUUUUUAAUCGCGGGUCGCUAGCGUCUGGUCGCUGCGAUCAGUCGCUGAACGUGCGACCGGUAAACGAACAACGUUUAGUCGCUCAGGUUGGUCGCUGACGCUAGCGACCUCCAAACGAACAGGGCCAAUAUAUUACAUAGUCGUGAUGGAUAUUAUUACCAUUUACAACAUAAGCCAAGCAUAAAAGAUAUAGCAAUGAUAGUAAUCAAAGUAUAAUUUAAAAGAAAAAAGUAUAAUAAAUCUCCCUAAUUCUAAUAUGAAUUAACUUUUAGACAACCAUUCGUUAUUAUGAAUCUAAAACGUGUAUUAAAGAAAAGCGUAUGAAGCUCAUAAACAACAAUAACAACAACAAACUAUGUAGGACGUUAAACGUAAUAUGCAUAUUACAUAUAACAUGUUUGGUUGAGCAAUGUGAAAAUGAUUGUACAUGAGAUGCGUCCGUACAAAGAUUCGGGUUUUUCUACGAAGUUGGUUGGAUAAUUUCAUAGUAAUAGAACUAACAUAAAGCGUGUGUGGUUUUGUUGGCGGCUAAUUAUCUUCACACGUUGCAAUGUUGCAUAACACCACGUAACGGUAACAUCUCUCCAACCGGUAUUGAUUUUCAUUACUUCGUUUAUAUGUUUUGGUUUAGUUUUACAUUUGAGAAAAAGUCAUCUUCCAGAUGCUUGACUUUUCUGACUCCCCAUGAAGGCAUGAAAUUGUCUGCCUACUUGUACGAUUUUUUUACCAUUUUCAAAGAGAUUCUAUUUUUUCCUAUAUAAUUUACACAAAAAUAGAAUAAUUCUAUUAUAUUAACUCUAUUAUAGAAUAACACUAUUGAAACAAAAUUAUAAUAUAAUUAGAGUUAUUUUAUUUUUGUAUAAAUUAUAAAGAGAAAAAUAGAGUUUUAUUGGAGAUGAUCUUAGACAAGUUACAUACGACAAAAAUAAAUAAAUACGCAAAAAGCAAGCUGAAAAACAUUUUGUUCUCUAGUUGUAACUUGCAGAACCGUCUUUAUAGUAUUUUUUUAUUUCUUAAAAUUGCUGAACCCAACCGAAAUCAACGACUAUAUGUGUCUUCAUUUAUUCAUAAUUGGUCUAUUCGUGUUGAUUGACUUUCAUUACGCUAAAGUAUAUUUUUGGAUGGGAGUAUAUAACAUAGAAAUUCGUAUAUUAGUUAAAUUUAUAGAGUUGAAACCUAAGUUAAUAGAGAUCAAAGUUCAAACAUAUGUGCCUUAUUUGUUUGUGUCUAACGAUCUUAUACGAAUUAACAUUUCUUAUCAACUCGACCAUUUAAAAUGACAAGGUAAGAAAUAUUCAUCAGUUGUAUAACGUUAAAUUAUGAAAUCUUGAUUCAGUACAUACAUUUUAAAACUAUAGAUAAAUAAUUUAAAUUUAUGUAUUUAGAAUCUAUAUUGACUCUCGAUAAUCCAUGUUAAGCAUGUAAAUGCAAGAUAGAAACACAAUACGGUAAUGCAGAAAGUAAAGCAACAGACAAAAUAAAUACAAACAACACUUAAGUUUUAUUAGAAAUCUCUUGUACACUUUAUUACAAUAUCUGCUUAAUCAGCUUUACACAGUUUAUUAAACCCUAACAACUGCUAUUGAAAGAUUCCUAAACUACCCGCUUAUAUCUCUCUUCCAUCGAGUACUUCAGCCACUGCUUUAACACGACCCAGAACACUUCCAAGAGCUUCUUUCUCUUUCUAUAAGAUCAGCCUCUGUGUCUUUGUCCCUCUACAGACGAUCCUAUAGCUAUCUUAUAGUUAUUCUCCAUACUCCCGAAACCCUAGUCUCAAAGACAACAUGUAUGGACAUCUUCCAUAACAAUAAGUGCAAUUUUUAUUUUCUUGGAAUGUACUUAUUCUUUUUUUUUUAAGUCAUAAAUUUGCUUUUCAAGUUUAUUCCUCUUUCCAUAUCUCCAAGAUACUCUCUUGCUCUCCAAGUCUACACGAUUCUAGCUCAGCACCUUGACUCUACAUGAUCUUCACCACAAACCACAACAUCUGCUUUAACAACUACGUCAACGACUAUUUUAGAGCAGACAUCUUACAUUUUCAAAGCAACGGUUAAAAUAAAUGGAAAAAGUGACAUUCCAAAUGAUCCAAUCCUUUAUUGUCAACCCCUAAUUAAAUUGACAAAGAUUUUUGACAGCUAGCACAGUUUUGACAUUUUAGGGUCUCAUAAUAUCAUGAGACCUAAUAUCAUCGUUUACCUUUAUCCAUUUAUUAAUAUUUGAAAAUGGUAGUUGUCAAUGGUCAUGGACUCGAAAUACAGAACGAUGACGUCUCCGAAUCUAAAGACAAAGAGAUUUGUCAGAGGGGAUCCAUCGUAUCCCAAACUCCCAAAGGCUUUCACAUUCACGUACGUGACGUAUUAUUAGACCUGAAAGGAUAUAUCCGUUCAGGUCUAUUAAAAAAACUACCUAACUAUGAGUCUAUGACCAAAAUUAUAACAACGGCAACUGAAUAACAUAUUACGUACUAUAGUUAGGUAGUUUUUAAAUCAUAAGUUCAUAACAUUUAUAAUCUUCGAUCCAUAAUACAUAAUAUUACCAUGUUGAGUUUUUUUUAAUCAUAAAAUUAAUUUGGUGUCUGGUCCUAACAUGACUUAAAUCGAAACACUAUAAAAGCUGAUAUGUAGCAAUUCCAUAUUUGCAUUCACUACUGCCGUCCCAUUCAUUUAUGAGACUUGGAUCAUUUUAAAAAGAUGUGGCCCUUACAAUUAAAUUAGGAAAAAAAGCAUAGAGAUGAACUGGAAUCGAAGAUGUGAGAAAUAAAAAAAUUUGUUUGUACUUGACCAUCUAAAUUACACACAAUUUUGUAUUUAAAAAUAUAGUCCAAUAUUUUUUGUCUUAACGUGUGGUCUAACUCUAAUAUGUUACAUGAUUUAAAGAAGCGAUAAACAUUUUUAACAACAAUGCAUCUUUUUGGUAAAAUGUUAAAAUUUUAUACUAAUUUUUUUUCUCUGACAAAAGAUACAAUGACAACUAGUAGCGGAAAGUAAAGAAGACAACAAACACAAUGACAACCUACUAACAACAACGAAGGAGCGGAAGGAAAGCAAAAUAACAUAAGCGAUUAGAUGGAUAUAUAUGAACCACAAUGUUAUACAUAUCUUCUUAACAUCAACCACAACAGAACUGAAGCAAUGAUAUGCACAUUUUGUUGUUGUUAAGUUCGAAUAAAAUGAAUUGCUAUUUUCUAACAGUGUCGCUUUUUCUCACUGUAAUCUUUGUUAUACUUCAACGCUCUGCUUUCUAUAAUCCUAAGAAACUCCUAUAUUUUGCAGCUACUAUACGAUUGCUAGAUCGACCUUGAAUUAAUAACUUAGAUUGCAAAUGUCGCUUUCUGUAACCCGACAAAAAUCACCGUUUCAAUCAGACAAAGUUGCAUUUUUUUCUUCAUGAGUAGUUUACACUUUGCACGCCGUGUAUUCGACACGACAUGAAUGUAUUAUUAUGUGAUAAGCUUUGAAUUAUUAUACGAUCAAUCGCUGUCUAAUAUAUAACAACGUUUCCAAAAAUAUCAUAUCAUUGUCUUUAAAUAUGUAUGGUACGUACGCAUGCCGUCACUACCAUGGCAAUAGUACAAGCCCCAUAUAUAACAAUUACAGAAAUGCUAAGGAUACUUUAACUUUCCCAAUCGUAUAUAUAAUACUAACAAUUAUCAUUAUUGUAAAAUACACAACUAGGUAGUUCGGCACAGCACAGCCAUACCAAUGGACAAAGAAACAAAUCUUUGUUACCCUGGAACCAAGGAGAUAGGGCAUAGAUUUUUCUUCAUUAUGGAUUGGCUUAACUGAUCCUAGUCGAUGUACGGUCCGAGCAGAAACUGAGAUUUCUAUAUAUAUAAGCAGAAAAUUUAACGAAUUUAAAACGUAGAUAGACAAAUUAAAUCAAAUAAACAUACUAUUUAUAUAUUUGAUUAAUUUGCACGUUAAAUUGCUAUAUGAGAAAAGAUAUGAUACAAUACAACACACAGCUCACUACAUUAUUGACUAUUAACUCAACACGCACAACACACAGCUCACUACAUGAAGUUAGUUUUAGUAGAUUGAAAUAAGUUAGUUCAGAAAUACUUUCCACCCAACUUAAUAUAUAUUUACCUAAUUAGUUUGGUGUAAUUAAAGCUUAAACUGAGAAAUGUGUACGAUAUCAGUCUUUUGAAGAAAUAUUUAUAUAUAGGAAAUUCCUUAUAAAAUAAAAUUUUCUAUUAGAGCAACCUUGUGGGCUAUAUUCUCAAAUGGAGGUUCUCAAAAAAUUUAAUACUACUAUUUUAAUUACAUAAUUAAAUUAUAAUCAAAAUUAAUUGAUCAAAUUUUGAAACGUAGAAAGUGCACCCCCUGAGGCCCUGACUUUAGUAGUGUUGAUACACUGUUUUCAGAUUUACGAUUAAUAUACACAUUCCACAUUCCUAACUAAUACGUUCAUUGGUUUAUCGAUUUCAAUAAAUACCAAGUAUGACACGCAAGUACAAAAUAUUCUAGAUAUAUAUUUGUAUACAUGACAAAGUAUUGCAAAUAGGUUCUCCAAGACUCAUUGAUGGCUAAUUAAAAGACCGAUUUUUUUCGAUAAAUUAGGUUUUGGUAAAGAGAUUUUUUUUUUUUUUGGAUCCAAAACGGUAAGCUGUUUUUGCCUUGAUAAAAAGUAAUUGCAAAUAUGUCAACCGAAAAUGAUUUACAGCAGCAGUAGUUGUAGUUAAUAUGAUAAGAGCAGCUUUAAUAUUAAAAUUGUGAUUUCGAUAUACAAUAUUCCGUAGUUUAUGAUUUUUUGGGUUACCACCAGCCGGUAGGGUUGGGAAGGAUAACAAAUACGCAUAUGCAUGGUUUACCAAAAUAGACCCAUUAAGAUCAGACCUGCGUGGCGCUACUUUAUUAGUUUUUGUUGUCUAAUUUUGCAUGAUAUUUCCAUCAAACAGAUUCCAAGACUCUAAACAAAACUCAAAAGGUUGAGUCACAAAACAAAACAAAAAAACGCUAUAGUUUUAGCUUAAAACGACACACGACAUGAUAUGAGUUAUACAUGUAACCUAUAACUAUAAGUGACAUGAUAUCAUCACCAUGUCCAUGUAUAUAUGAAAUCUGGCAUUAGUGUAUUUGUUAGGUGAGUAAUAUGCAAGCAUCUCGAGAAAGAAGAGAAAUUACAUUUCUUUUGUAACAAAGAAAAUAAAUUAUAUAAACGUCUAAAGUCAUUAAUUAAAUGUAUCCUGGACCGUUGCUAUUGUCUUUUUUUUCUGGUAAAAACCGUUGCUAUUGUUUUACUCAAUUAACUAUCAUUAUAAAAUGUAAUCUAUGUUUGCUUCUUAGUUAACAGUGUAUUAAGAUCUGCAACUCAUUUGGCCUUGUUUGACGAUUUGCGAGAUAAUGUUAGGAGUUUUCAAGGCUCCUAAGAUAAAUGUUGUAGUAUAGAAGAUUGUCGAACCAGUUCUGAGGGAUAUCAAAGCACUGAGAAUGCAAGUACUCACUUAAUCUAAGUGCAACCAAUGAUUUAGAUGGGUUUUAAACUACUACUAAACUAGAAAGCAAUAACAGAAUGAUACUUUCUUGACUAAGGGAAAAGAGAACUCAUGGGCAUAGGGAUUAGACCUUGGGUGAUCAAGUAUCGAACUAAGGAUGGCAAAUGAUCAAUCAAACUAUCAACCUUAAGCCUAGACACAAUUCUAAGCAAGCUCUAUGUCUAGAUGAAUGCUCAUUUGCUAACAUAUCUCAAACAUCAAAUGUCUUUGGUUGAAUAAUAUGAAAGCAAUCAUUACUAACAAGUCUAUUAGCUAUCUUAGCAUCUUUAACAACAAAUGUCUUUGGCAAAGUAUACUAAAAGCCUAGGAGAGUUGUCUCAGGCAUUUCAUCAAACACCUUUUGGGUGGGAAAUGUCUAUUGAUCAACUUUUGAGUGGCCAACUCAGAAGAUGCAUUAUGAAUACUCUACUAGCAAGGAACAAGAAUGAUCUACACUAAAACAUCCUAGAACUAACCUAAUCACCCUUAAUCUCCCUAACCCAUGAAUUCAAAAGGUGAUUACUCACUAAUCUCCAUGAUUCCUCUUAAACCCAUAUUGGAUUUCAGAUUAACCAUGUAGAGAAAUAGAUAAGAAAUCAACAAGAACACAAGAACAUAACAAAUCAAAACCCAAGAGAUGAACUUCUCAAGAGAGUUCUUGUGUCUUUCUCAAUAGAUCAAAAGAUAAAAGAUAAUCUGCCACUGGUGGCUACAAAAGAUGUUUAAAACAUAGGUUUUUCCAAGUGCAAAACGUCCAAAAUAAAUUGCAAAAAGGUCCUUAAGAAAUCAUGAUUUUCGGCAGCAAAAUAACGCGGAGCGACUUGCAGGUGUCGCUCCGGGAAGUCGCUCCAGGGCCGAUUUUUGGUGUCUCCGGGCGAGAGGUCGCGAGCGACUUUGGUGUGUCGCUCCAACGGGUCGCUCUGGAUCGGGAGCGACCUUGGUAGGUCGCUCUGAGAGGUCGCUCCAGGCUUCGCUUCGUGUCGUCUCUCCAUAAAGACGCGAGCGACCUCGGGGUGUCGCUUUGGGAGGUCGCUCCGAGAGGGGUGUGAGAUGCGAGCGACUUCGUGGUGUCGCUCCGGGAGGUCGCUCCGGGCUCGUUCUCGCGUCUCCGAGUGAUGAAACCGCGAGCGACUUCUCCCUGUCGCUCUGGUAAGGUCGCUCCAAUAGGGAAGUCAGAGCGACUUGGUGGUGUCGCUCCGGACUGGUCGCUCCAUGCCUUGCUCGCCCAAUGACCACUCUAAACACUCCUUUUGAGCUCCAAAUGCACCCAAAUGUCUCCAGAAACUCCAUGUGGUACUCAAAUACCUGAUAGAGACAUAUGUAUGCAAAAUGCAACCUAAACAUGUCUAAAUCCUAAUCUAUAUGAUGAAAAUGUUUAUGAAUGAAUGGAUAAAACAAUGUAAAUAUGCAAGAUAUCAACUCCCCCAAACUUGUUCUUUUACUUGUCCACAAGUGAACUUUCUAGAACUCAUAGGGAGAGAGGUUGAAGGAGGGAGCACAUAGCCAAAAGAAACACAACUAGCACACUCUCUUAUUACACUCUAGCUUCUCUAGGCCUAUCUUAACUCUUUUUGUUCUUACACUCAUCAUCAAGCAUCCACACAUUCAAAUCAACCAACUCUCACAUUCAUUAAGCACAAAACAUCAGGUGAAUUCUUGCAAAUGGUCAGUUGGUCCAAGUCAUUUGGUUGGGUAAGGGAAGGCUUUUAUUCAAGUGAUUCAAGAGGUUCAAAACAUAUGAUCUUUAAGGUGGUUUACUCUCAAAACAAGUAGCCUUGACAUUGCACAUAAUAUAUCUAAGAAAGGGACCAACUCAUGCAUACAAUGCUCAAUCUCCAUUGUUCUACCCUUUUCCCAAACAUACAAUUACACAAUCAUUCCCAAAUGUCAAACCCAACUCACAUCUCUCACCAAAAGAUCCUAAGAACUUUAACUCCUUCUCUUUGAAAUCUACAAGGGAUUUUUCACAACCUCAAAACAUUUCUUAGCUCCUAACAACUUUGCUAGCCCCUUUUUUUUUUUUCUUUUCUUUUUUUUUUUUUCGUUUUUUUUUCUUUUUUUUUUUUUUUUUUUUUUUUUAGGCUGGGGGCCAAGACUUUUCAAAACUUGAGCUAGAGGCUUCUCUACUUAUCCCAAUAAAACAAUUCACUUAAGCACAAAGAGUCUAUUCUUUUCUUUUUUUUUUUCAUUUCUCCCAAAUCAUAAUCACAACACUCACCCCCACCUAUAGCUAGACAAAGAGUGUCCAAUCUAGCAAAAUGAAGAUCAAGCAUUGUCGUUCCCGAUACUCUCAACAUUAUGCACAUGUAAGACUUUCCGAAGAAGGCCUCACUCAUCAAACAAUGAAAGCUUAAAAGGAGGAAAGGUUUUGGGAGUGGUCUACCACUAGAGUUUGUCAAAAAGAUUGGCAUAAAAGAUGUGACAACUCAAGUGUGUAUAGCCAUGACUCAGUACACAAGGGACCAUGAGCAAGAAGCAUUAAGUUCGUUCAGUUCAAAUAAGGUUGUAGUUGGCUUCAAAGACUGAGUUUCAGCAAUCAACAAGUUUCAGGAAGAGUUUUCAAGGCUCGAAACAUACAAGUCUUUUUGAGAGGUGCAAAAGCUACUCAGGUGCAACGUAGUGUUCUUUACAAGGCAUUCAAAUCAUUGCUCCCAAUGCAAGUGAAUGCAACCUAUAUGCUCUAGACUCUCCUAAAAAUGCAAAUGAUGCAAACUAAAUGAUUGAUUUUUUUUUUUUUUUUAUCUAUGCAAAUAGGUAUGCAAUGCAUGACUCAAUGAAACAACAUCAAAGCAAACAUGAUCAAAUACUUGGUACCUCCCCCAAACUUGAGUUACACAGUCUCUGUGUCGUCA